AUUGAACGCUGGCGGGAGGCCUAACACAUGCAAGUCGAACGAGUGGCGGACGGGUGAGUAAUGUAUGGGAAAGUGCCCGGUGGAGGGGGAUAAAUACUGGAAAGAGGGGCUAAUACCGAAUACCAUCGGAGGUGCCGAUAUGGGAUUAGCGAGUUGGUGGGGUAAAGGCUCACCAAGGCAACGAUCCCUAGCUGGUUUGAGAGGAUGACCAGCCACACUGGGACUGAGACACGGCCCAGACUCCUACGGGAGGCAGCAGUGGGGAAUUUUGGACAAUGGGGGCAAGCCUGAUCCAGCCAUCCCGCGUGUAUGAUGAAGGCCUUCGGGUUGUAAAGUACUUUUGGCAGAGAGGCGGUAUCUGCAGAAGAAGCACCGGCUAACUCCGUGCCAGCAGCCGCGGUAAUUC
rnacentral:rRNA from 1 species